AACGAACGCUGGCGGCAGGCCUAACACAUGCAAGUCGAGCGAAGCCUUCGGGCUUAGCGGCGGACGGGUGAGUAACGCGUGGGAACGUGCCCUUUGGUACGGAAUAGCCCCGGGAAACUGGGAGUAAUACCGUAUGUGCCCUUCGGGGGAAAGAUUUAUCGCCAAAGGAUCGGCCCGCGUUGGAUUAGGUAGUUGGUGGGGUAAAGGCAUACCAAGCCGACGAUUGCUAGCUGGUUUGAGAGGAAGAUCAGCCACACUGGGACUGAGACACGGCCCAGACUCCUACGGGAGGAAGCAGUGGGGAAUCUUAGACAAUGGGGGAAACCCUGAUCUAGCCAUGCCGCGUGGUCGAUGAAGGCCUUAGGGUUGUAAAGAUCUUUCAGUGGGGAAGAUAAUGACUGUACCCACAGAAGAAGCCCCGGCUAACUCCGUGCCAGCAGCCGCCGUAACAC
rnacentral:rRNA from 1 species